UCUGUUUAUGAAAUUCUAUAAUUGUAUGACUUCAUUUUUUCUGAUGUUAAUCUAUUUCUGUUUUGAGAUCAUUAUGAUUUUAUGACUUUGUUUUAUUUUGUUUUGAUCUAUGUGAAGCACUUUGUGAUUCUAUGUCUGUGAUAAGUGCUAUACGAAUACAAUUUCCUUACUUACUUAGGCCCUGUCCACACGUAGCCGGGGAUCUGCCAAAACGUAGAUAUUGUUCUACGUUUUGGCCUGUCAUCCACACGAAAACGGAGUUCUUUCACACGAAAACGGAUCUUUUUUAAAACUCCGGCCAAAGUGAAGAUCUGCGUUUUCUCCGUUUUGGGUGUCUGCGUGUGGACAGACAAAACCGGAGUUUUAAGGUCCGCAACGUCACUUUCCACGACAAAAAAAUGCUGACAUCACGUGUGCGACCUGUGUUUACACUAGCCGACAGCAUGGAUGUCCUCAGAGCUGCGCUCGCUUUAUCAAUUGUCCAAGCGCUUUUUGCCUGUUUGUUUUUGCAAGCGGAAUUACUGCUCCCUGCGGAAGACCACAGACGAAGGACGAGGUUAAGAACGGGGGAAGUACUGCCGCCUACAGGUCUGGCAUGUCCUUAACAACGAGGUGGUGUGGAUGCAAGUUUUUGGAGGGGCGGAUAACCCGGCUACAUGUGGACUAGGCCUUACUGUCAAGCUGAAGAGAGUCCUAUCAGAUAUUUUUGGCCUAUGGGACUCUAGGGGCAGCUGAAAAACCAUGGCAGUCCAAGCAGAAUGUGGCUCAGAUGAUCAAGGAGGCAAAAACCCGGGCAUGGGAGGAGUUUGGUGAGACUAUGGAGUAGGACUUCCAUACGGCUUCAAGGAGAUUCUGGUCCACUAUCCGACACCUCAGGAGGCAGUGCACUACCAACUCUGUUUAUAGUGGAGAUGGUGUGCUGCUGAAAUUAACACGGGACAUUGUGGAUCGGUGGGCGAAGUAAUCUGGAGACUUCCUCAAUCCCACCGGCACGUCUUCCAGUGAGGAAGCUGAGCUGCAUCUUCAGUAAUGGGAGCGUUGUACUGGUCUGUCAUGGUGGUGAGACAGCUGAGCCAGAAGGUGAAGCUUUCGUUUUAUCGGCCAAUCUAUGUUCCUAUCCUCACCUAUGGUCACGAACUUUGGGUAGUGACUGAUAAAGAGACUGCAGACACAAGUGGCCAAAACAAGUUUUCUUCACAGGGUGGCUGGGCUCUCCCAAAUGCCACUUACACAUUAGCGUCGGUACGGUCUGGGGAGAAUAGCUUCAGUUCAGUCUCCAACAGGCGGUGUGGUGUUCACAUAUAAAUCCAAUGGACUUCUCAGGAAUGCAGAAAUCCCCAAGCCCGUGGGCGGCGUUUAAUACGAGCGAGAAAGUCCGUGGUGUUCUCCAUAAUCUGAUAAUCAAAGGCGGGCAUGAACUGUGUUGUUUUUGGAGACUCUGGACCACAUUAUUUAAUUAAUUUGAUGUGUGUGUCCUUCUCAUAAAACUCUUGUCCUCUACUGUUGCGGGCCACACGUGCACUCUUUUCUCCUCCCACUGAGCGGCUGUCUGUCGGCUCGCUGGGGCACGAGCUCUGAUGCAGAGGAUAGGGACACACACACAGCUUUCUCUCUUCUCCCUUUCCCACUGAGCGGCAGCUCUGUGCUACAGACAGAGAAGUUUACUUAACAGCAUUCAGCGUGAAAAUGAAUCGCGCUUGCAGGAGCCCCCCUCUUGUUGAUUCUUCUCGCCAAUCGGAAGCGGUAGGCAUAAUUUCAGCCGGCCAGCGUAGUAACACCUCGGUCUCAGUCGGAUUGCUGGGGAGGUCAGAAAAAAUGUCGCCUCAGACUGGAAAACGCAUAUCUGACCCAAGUGUAAAACCAAAUUCCGGUUCCGUACCUAACCAUGCCAACGCUAAUGUGUAAGCGCCUUUGGAGAUGGGGUGAGAAGCUUGGCCUUCCAGAAGGAGCUCGGAGUAGAUCCACUGCUCCUCCAAAUCAAGAGGAGUCAGUUAAGGUGGCUCGAGGAUCUAGUUAAGAUGCCUCCUGGACGCUUCCCUGGUGAGGUUUUCCAGGCACAUCCAACUGGGAGGAGACCUAAAGGGAGACCCAGGACACGCUGGAGGGGCUAUGUCUUUCAGCUGGCCAAGAAACGCCUUGGGAUUACCCCGGAGGAGUUGCCCCAAGUGGCUGGGUAGAGGGAAGUCUAGGCUUCUCUAUUCAGGCUGCUGUCCCUGCGACACGACCUCGGAUAAGCAGAAGAGAAUGAAUGGAUGGAUGAGAAUCCUGGUCCCAGUCCCACUCCACUCCAUUUGGUGGCAGUAUGCACUAAGAUGUGGCAUAAUAACCACCACAGAACAGCUCAACGAAUAAAAGAGAAAAUUGGUCAUGGCACAAUAUGAAUCUCACAAAUUGACUAAAAUGACAAAAGAAUGAUUUUGUGAGGGAUGACCAUUGGUGUUGCCCAUGCAUUAAUAAGUGCCCCAACUGGACCACCCCCUUGUAAAAGGUCCAGACACGCCAUAGUGUGCUGCUUCUCCUUUGAUGGUGUAAAGCAGUGCCCCGUUAACUGACCGAUUGAUCUUAGCACUGUUCAGUUAUGUGAGGACACAGGUCACUUCACCUUCCUGAAAUGCAUUUCAGCCUCUCCAAGUUAUUAACAAUCCUUACCCCAUCUAUUGUAGACAGCUGUCAUGAGUCGGGGUGAGUACUCCCGUCGCACAUUCCAUCUUUGAGUUGUUUUUCAGGAGAGGGAGGCGCCCAGCUGCUUCUGGUUAGCAAUCAACGGCACUGGCUUCUUAAGGAGUUGGAGAACACACCUCGACGUGGGAUGAUUACUACUACUCGGUAGAUUCCAGCCGUCUAGUGUUGCAGUGACUUUGUACCUCUUGUGUUUUUGGCUUAUUAUUCUCUGUGGAUUUUUGUGCUUACGUCUCCUUCAGGAUUUUUUUUUUAACAUCUCUGGAGUAGAGCCUUCUCAGGAUUCAGUGACUCAUCAGGAAACUCACCUUUGCCACAUAACUGUCUGGACUAAGCUUCCCAGUGUUCUCAUCUCUCCAGUCGCCCCACUCCUCUGCUUCCCACAUGCUCCCUCUCCUGGAUUUACACACCUCGACUCACCCAACUAUCGACCUGCCCCUCCCUAGUUCUCCUCAUCUCCUUUGCCCAACGCUGAGUACGGACUUUGCUCAUCCACUGGAAGCUCCAGUGCGCUUUUGUUCCCGUCUAUUAAUAAAUACUUUUUUUAUCUUUA